UGGGGCGUCGCCAAGUGGUAAGGCUCUGGGUUUUGAUCUCAGCAUGCGUAGGUUCGAGUCCUACCGCCCCAG
rnacentral:tRNA from 1 species